rnacentral:rRNA from 1 species
AUGAGUGCCCGCAUUACUGGUAGGCCUUUACUUCCUGACAAUCCAAAAAUAAAUUUUCCACAUAAGGAAUAUGAGGACCACGUUAAGGUAAUUGAUAUGUCAUUUAAGGUUGCACCCAGUCAGACCGUAUAUUUCAUUGUUGUUUCUUAUUUCCAGAGGUACCCCGAGGAGGCGGAAUUGUUGAACAAGGACAUAUUCAACUUCGAGUGUAUGAAGUGUGUCUGGGGCCCUAUACCAGAGUUGAGGAUGUCGCGGGAUAAUGUUGCAUCGGUGAGGGGUGACGCAAGCUCAAAGAAAGUGAGUGAAGACGAUGAUGAUUUUAUGCCAAGCAAACAAGCUCAGAACAAACGCAAGACUCAUGUUGCAUCUGAGAAGGGUGACGGUAGUUCUAGCAAAGUGAAGAGUGAUGAUGAUGACUUUAUGCCAAGCAAAAAAGCUCAAAAUAGAUCGAAGGGUUGCGCAAGCUCAAAGAGUGGUAGAUCAAGUAACAAUGUAGCAUAA